UGGGGAAUAUUGGGCAAUGGGCGAAAGCCUGACCCAGCGACGCCGCGUGAGGGAAGAAGGUCUUCGGAUUGUAAACCUUAGUUAGCAGGGAAGAAGAAAGUGACGGUACCUGCAGAGAAAGCCACGGCUAACUACGUGCCAGCAGCCGCGGUAAUACGUAGGUUGCAAGCGUUGUCCGGAUUUACUGGGUGUAAAGGGCGUGUAGGCGGAGAUGCAAGUUGGGAGUGAAAUCCCGGGGCUCAACCCCGGAACUGCUUUCAAAACUGUAUCCCUUGAGUAUCGGAGAGGCAAGCGGAAUUCCUAGUGUAGCGGUGAAAUGCGUAGAUAUUAGGAGGAACACCAGUGGCGAAGGCGGCUUGCUGGACGACAACUGACGCUGAGGCGCGAAAGCGUGGGGAGCAAACAGGAUUAGAUACCCUGGUAGU
rnacentral:rRNA from 1 species